rnacentral:rRNA from 1 species
GACGAACGCUGGCGGCGUGCUUAACACAUGCAAGUCGAACGAAGUGGCGAACGGGUGAGUAACGCGUAAUCAACCUGCACUUCAGCGGGGGACAACAGUUGGAAACGACUGCUAAUAGCACAUCCUGCAGGAGGGGAUUGCGUCUGAUUAGGUAGUUGGAGGGGUAACGGCCCACCAAGGCGAUGAUCAGUAGACGGUCUGAGAGGAUGAACGGCCACAUUGGGACUGAGACACGGCCCAGAAUCCGACGGGAGGCAGCAGUGGGGAAUCGUCCGCAAUGGACGAAAGUCUGACGGAGCAACGCCGCGUGAGUGAUGACGGCCUUCGGGUUGUAAAGCUCUGUUAAUCGGGACGCGGUACCGGAAUAGAAAGCCACGGCUAACUACGUGCCAGCAGCCGCGGUAAUUC